AGAGGUGAUAAAUCAAACAAACCCACUAUUGGAGCAGAUCUGUUCAAGGAAGAGCUAGAAAUUGAUGGCCAGAAGGUAGCUAUCCAAAUUUGGGACACAGCAGGCCAAGAGAGAUUUCACGCUCUUGGAUUCUCCUUCUACAAAGGAGCUGA
rnacentral:ribozyme from 1 species